rnacentral:rRNA from 1 species
GAGCGAACAGACGAGGAGCUUGCUCCUCUGAUGUUAGCGGCGGACGGGUGAGUAACACGUGGAUAACCUACCUAUAAGACUGGGAUAACUUCGGGAAACCGGAGCUAAUACCGGAUAACAUGUUGAACCGCAUGGUUCAACAGUGAAAGACGGUCUUGCUGUCACUUAUAGAUGGAUCCGCGCCGCAUUAGCUAGUUGGUAAGGUAACGGCUUACCAAGGCAACGAUGCGUAGCCGACCUGAGAGGGUGAUCGGCCACACUGGAACUGAGACACGGUCCAGACUCCUACGGGAGGCAGCAGUAGGGAAUCUUCCGCAAUGGGCGAAAGCCUGACGGAGCAACGCCGCGUGAGUGAAGAAGGUCUUCGGAUCGUAAAACUCUGUUAUUAGGGAAGAACAAAUGUGUAAGUAACUAUGCACGUCUUGACGGUACCUAAUCAGAAAGCCACGGCUAACUACGUGCCAGCAGCCGCGGUAAUACGUAGGUGGCAAGCGUUAUCCGGAAUUAUUGGGCGUAAAGCGCGCGUAGGCGGUUUUUUAAGUCUGAUGUGAAAGCCCACGGCUCAACCGUGGAGGGUCAUUGGAAACUGGAAAACUUGAGUGCAGAAGAGGAAAGUGGAAUUCCAUGUGUAGCGGUGAAAUGCGCAGAGAUAUGGAGGAACACCAGUGGCGAAGGCGACUUUCUGGUCUGUAACUGACGCUGAUGUGCGAAAGCGUGGGGAUCAAACAGGAUUA